CCGAUUCCUACGGGAGGCAGCAGUGGGGAAUCUUGCGCAAUGGGCGAAAGCCUGACGCAGCGACGCCGCGUGCGGGAGGACGGCCUUCGGGUCGUAAACCGCUGUUGCCCGGGACGAAAAGCCCUUUCGAGGGCGUUGACGGUACCGGGUGAGGAAGUACCGGCUAACUCCGUGCCAGCAGCCGCGGCAAUACGGAGGGUGCGAGCGUUGUCCGGAAUCACUGGGCGUAAAGGGCGCGUAGGCGGCCCGAGGAGUCGGGGGUGAAAGUCCGGGGCUCAACCCCGGAUCGGCUUUCGAGACUCUCGGGCUCGAGCACAGUAGAGGCGGGUGGAAUUCCACGUGUAGCAGUGAAAUGCGUAGAGAUGUGGAGGAAUACCAAUGGCGAAGGCAGCCCCCUGGGAUAAUAUUGACGCUCAUGCACGAAAGCGUGGGGAGCAAACAGGAUUAGAUACCCUGGUAGUCCACGCCCUAAACUAUGUCAACUGGUUGUCGGGGAAGCAAUUCCUUGGUAACGAAGCUAACGCGUGAAGUUGACCGCCUGGGGAGUACGGCCGCAAGGUUAAAACUCAAAGGAAUUGACGGGGACCCGCACAAGCGGUGGAUUAUGUGGAUUAAUUCGAUGCAACGCGAAAAACCUUACCUACCCUUGACAUGCCAGGAACCCUUCAGAGAUGGAGGGGUGCCCGAAAGGGAACCUGGACACAGGUGCUGCAUGGCUGUCGUCAGCUCGUGUCGUGAGAUGUUGGGUUAAGUCCCGCAACGAGCGCAACCCUUGCCAUUAGUUGCCACAUUCAGUUGGGCACUCUAAUGGGACUGCCGGUGACAAACCGGAGGAAGGUGGGGAUGACGUCAAGUCAGCAUGGCCUUUAUGUCUGGGGCUACACACGUGCUACAAUGGCCGGUACAAAGCGUCGCAAACUCGCGAGGGGGAGCUAAUCGCAGAAAGCCGGUCUCAGUUCGGAUUGUAGGCUGCAACUCGCCUGCAUGAAGUCGGAAUCGCUAGUAAUCGCGGAUCAGCAUGCCGCGGUGAAUACGUUCCCGGGCCUUGUACACACCGCC
rnacentral:rRNA from 1 species